AUCUGAUGGUGAGGGCAGCUUGCACAAAGCUUCUUGAAUCUCUCCCAGUACUCAUACAAGCUCUCCCUACCAAGCUGCCUAAUCCCAGAUAUAUCUUUCCUGAUUGU
rfam:Vigna angularis cultivar Jingnong 6 scaffold163_3, whole genome shotgun sequence.